rnacentral:rRNA from 1 species
GACGAACGCUGGCGGCGUGCCUAAUACAUGCAAGUAGAACGCACAGUUUAUACCGUAGCUUGCUACACCAUAGACUGUGAGUUGCGAACGGGUGAGUAACGUGUAGGUAACCUGCCUGGUAGCGGGGGAUAACUAUUGGAAACGAUAGCUAAUACCGCAUAAUAUUAAUUAUUGCAUGAUAAUUAAUUGAAAGGUGCAAUUGCACCACUACCAGAUGGACCUGCGUUGUAUUAGCUAGUAGGUGAGGUAACGGCUCACCUAGGCGACGAUACAUAGCCGACCUGAGAGGGUGAUCGGCCACACUGGGACUGAGACACGGCCCAGACUCCUACGGGAGGCAGCAGUAGGGAAUCUUCGGCAAUGGACGAAAGUCUGACCGAGCAACGCCGCGUGAGUGAAGAAGGUUGUCGGAUCGUAAAGCUCUGUUGUAAGAGAAGAACGGGUGUGAGAGUGGAAAGUUCACACUGUGACGGUAUCUUACCAGAAAGGGACGGCUAACUACGUG